GUAUUUGCUUUAGCACAUAUACUAAAAUUGGAACAAUACAGAGAAGAUUAACAUGGCCUCUUAAAAAAAAAUCAGCCUGAGCAAGAGUGAGACCCCGUCUUU
rnacentral:snRNA from 1 species